rnacentral:tRNA from 1 species
CUUCUUUGAGAAACUAUUAUAAUGCUUCAGUAUUAUUAGAGUAUAACACCUCCUCAAAGCCU